rnacentral:rRNA from 1 species
GACAGAGGGUGCAAACGUUGUUCGGAAUUACUGGGCGUAAAGCGCGUGUAGGCGGCUAAGUAAGUCGGGCGUGAAAUCCCACGGCUCACCCGUGGAACUGCUGGGUAUACUGGCGAUCUUGGGCCAACUAGGGGCAACUGGAACAAGCGGUGGAGCGGUGAAAUGCGUAGAUAUCGCUUGGAACGCCAAAGGUGAAAACAGGUUGCUGGGUUGUGCCGACGCUGAGACACGAAGCCAGGGGAGCAAACGGG